rnacentral:rRNA from 1 species
GACGAACGCUGGCGGCGCGCCUAACACAUGCAAGUCGAACGGGGUAAUCCUUCGGGAUUACUUAGUGGCGAACGGGUGAGUAACGCGUGAAGAACCUACCUUUCAGUGGGGGACAACAGUUGGAAACGACUGCUAAUACCGCAUAAUGUAUCGAUAGGGCAUCCUAAUGAUACCAAAGAUUUAUUGCUGAAAGAUGGCUUCGCGUCUGAUUAGCUAGUUGGUGAGGUAACGGCUCACCAAGGCGACGAUCAGUAGCCGGACUGAGAGGUUGAACGGCCACAUUGGGACUGAGAUACGGCCCAGACUCCUACGGGAGGCAGCAGUGGGGAAUAUUGGGCAAUGGGGGAAACCCUGACCCAGCAACGCCGCGUGAAGGAAGAAGGCCUUCGGGUUGUAAACUUCUUUUACCAGGGACGAAGAACGUGACGGUACCUGGAGAAAAAGCAACGGCUAACUACGUGCCAGCCGCCGCAGUAACAC